AAAGGUAGAGGUGCAGUCGAGAUGAGUAAUGUCCGUGAGGAAAACCAUUCCGUACGGAGCGGGCAUGAAAGGUGAGACUGCCGAAGAGUGUAUUUUGGUAAGAUGCAUUCUGGGUACAUGCCGAACAGGUAUGUGACUGUCAUCAUUCAGUGUGAUGGAGAGCUACCG
rnacentral:ncRNA from 1 species